UGGGAGUCCAACAACAGUUUUGUACAAACAUUUAUGGUUCCCAGACAAUGUAUCCUACUGACUUUAGUGAUCCCCUGACAU